GAUGAACGCUGGCGGCGUGCCUAAUACAUGCAAGUCGAGCGAACAGACGAGGAGCUUGCUCCUCUGACGUUAGCGGCGGACGGGUGAGUAACACGUGGAUAACCUACCUAUAAGACUGGGAUAACUUCGGGAAACCGGAGCUAAUACCGGAUAAUAUAUUGAACCGCAUGGUUCAAUAGUGAAAGACGGUUUUGCUGUCACUUAUAGAUGGAUCCGCGCCGCAUUAGCUAGUUGGUAAGGUAACGGCUUACCAAGGCAACGAUGCGUAGCCGACCUGAGAGGGUGAUCGGCCACACUGGAACUGAGACACGGUCCAGACUCCUACGGGAGGCAGCAGUAGGGAAUCUUACGCAAUGGGAGAAAGCCUGACGGAGCAACGCCGCGUGAGUGAUGAAGGUCUUCGGAUCGUAAAACUCUGUUAUUAGGGAAGAACAAAUGUGUAAGUAACUAUGCACGUCUUGACGGUACCUAAUCAGAAAGCCACGGCUAACUACGUG
rnacentral:rRNA from 1 species